rnacentral:rRNA from 1 species
UAUGUAGGUGACAAGCGUUGUCCGGAUUUACUGGGCGUAAAGAGCGCGCAGGCGGUCGAUCAAGUCGAGUGUGAAAGCCCCCGGCUCAACUGGGGAGGGUCAUUCGAUACUGAUCGACUCGAAGGCAGGAGAGGGUAGUGGAAUUCCCGGUGUAGUGGUGAAAUGCGUAGAUAUCAGGAGGAACACCUGCGGUGUAGACGGCUUUCUGGACCAUUGCUGACGCUGAGACACGAAAGCGUGGGUAGCAAACAGG